AGAGUUUGAUCCUGGCUCAGGACGAACGCUGGCGGCGUGCUUAACACAUGCAAGUCGAACGGAAAGGCCCUUCGGGGUACUCAAGUGGCGAACGGGUGAGUAACACGUGGGUGAUCUGCCCUGCACUUUGGGAUAAGCCUGGGAAACUGGGUCUAAUACCGAAUAUGACCAUGCGCCUCCUGGUGUGUGGUGGAAAGCUUUUGCGGUGUGGGAUGGGCCCGCGGCCUAUCAGCUUGUUGGUGGGGUAAUGGCCUACCAAGGCGACGACGGGUAGCCGGCCUGAGAGGGUGACCGGCCACACUGGGACUGAGAUACGGCCCAGACUCCUACGGGAGGCAGCAGUGGGGAAUAUUGCACAAUGGGCGCAAGCCUGAUGCAGCGACGCCGCGUGAGGGAUGACGGCCUUCGGGUUGUAAACCUCUUUCAGCACAGACGAAGCGCAAGUGACGGUAUGUGCAGAAGAAGGACCGGCCAACUACGUGCCAGCAGCCGCGGUAAUACGUAGGGUCCGAGCGUUGUCCGGAAUUACUGGGCGUAAAGAGCUCGUAGGUGGUUUGUCGCGUUGUUCGUGAAAACUCACAGCUUAACUGUGGGCGUGCGGGCGAUACGGGCAGACUUGAGUACUGCAGGGGAGACUGGAAUUCCUGGUGUAGCGGUGGAAUGCGCAGAUAUCAGGAGGAACACCGGUGGCGAAGGCGGGUCUCUGGGCAGUAACUGACGCUGAGGAGCGAAAGCGUGGGGAGCGAACAGGAUUAGAUACCCUGGUAGUCC
rnacentral:rRNA from 1 species